rnacentral:rRNA from 1 species
AUGGGAAGAAGUAUUCCCGUCUAUGAAGAUGUCCGUGACGAUUUCAUCAAUCUUAAAAUGAUAUGUUGUUCCAGUAUUUUGAAGGUGUUCAUAAGUGCGUAUGCUCAUGAAGUAGAGCGUGUGAGUUUGUACCGUGUUAUUAAGGAAAAAAAAUUGGGGGGAAUGGAGAUCGUGCUGUCGUGGGCGGUCCGCAGAAGGACGUGCCGCAACUGCUUCUGCAGCCACCGACCUGGGCCGUCAGAUCCAAAAGCGAGUGGCCGAGAUCGCGUGCUUUCCUCCUCUCCUCUUCUUCCCCGGCCCCCCUCCCCUCUCUCUCCACGCCGCUCUCGUUCCGUCAUUCCCUACCCACCCACCCAAUGCGCCCGUGAGUGUGAAAUCCCACUCUUAUCGCAGCGCACUGCCGCCGCGCCGUCCCGCAGCAGAGCGGCGCCGCCGACGCCUCGUUCCCCGGCUCCUCCGCCUCCCCACCUCUCGCGCGAGUCGCCGCCCCCCUUCUACCUCGUCGCGUCCCUGCUGUCUCCGCAACCCUGGGAAUUGGGUUUUGAGGCGUUUGAGGUGGUUCAUCUAAGCCAUAGGGCGUCCACUUUGUUUGUUAAUUUCUAA